rnacentral:rRNA from 1 species
CAGUCGCCGCGGUAAUACAGAGGGUGCGAGCGUUAAUCGGAUUUACUGGGCGUAAAGCGUGCGUAGGCGGUUUCUUAAGUCGGAUGUGAAAUCCCUGAGCUUAACUUAGGAAUUGCAUUCGAUACUGGGAAGCUAGAGUAUGGGAGAGGAUGGUAGAAUUCCAGGUGUAGAGGUGAAAUUCGUAGAUAUUUGGAAGAACACCGGUGGCGAAGGCGGCGACCUGGCUCAUAACUGACGCUGAGGCGCGAAAGCGUGGGGAGCAAACAGGAUUAGAUACCCCCGUAGUCCCUGUCUAUUAUAC